UUGGUUCUUCCUGGGCAACACAGAAAUUAUAGCAUGUGAGCUGUAACUAAACAGAACAGAAACUGAAAGAGAACCAGAUUCUGAAGGACAAAGAAGAAGCUGACUGACUCCUCAGGUCUUAUCAAGACAUUUUAACAUAAAGAAGUCCAUCUUUAAGAGCUGCAAUGAUUACGUGGAAUGAGACUGUGUUCUUACUAAGAGGAACCCACAAGAAUUUUGACCUGAUUGAGGAAAAUGAUACCGGCAUACCAUCACAGCUUAGAACUGGAGACCUUCUUAUGAGGAAAAUAUAUGCCUCUGGACCUUACCACGUUGGGAUUUACUGUGGAAAAUAUGUCCUUGAGUUUACAGCUCCUGAGAACUCGAAAUUUUGUGAUCGAAUCACAAGUUUUUCAUCAACCAAAGAGUCUGGCACGGUGGACAUGAAAAGUGUGAAGAACUUCAUUGGAAACAAGCCAUACCGUGUCCUCCGUCUGAGGAUGGCUAUUCCUCAGAAUUUCUCUGACUUGGUUGAUGCUCACAUGGAUUAUGAUGGGAUAUACAAUCCUUUGACAAAUAACUGUCUGCAUUUUGCACUCAGACUCCUGGGGCUGGAAUCAGGGCCGAUUCCAGAAAGAUUGCCACAGCAAAGAGAUGAGGAAAUCGGCAUGGAUGAUCUGGAAGAAAGAGCUGCUUUGACAGAUUCGCAAAACAUGCAACUGAAGUGAAUCUCACGCUUUGAAACUAGUGGAAAAUAAAACCUUGAAAAAUGAAUUAUAUUUGUAACAGAAUAUUAGUUCUGCUUAAAUAUUACUGCCUCAUAAGAAAUCCUAAUCCUGUCUGACUUAUGGAAUGUCAAAAAAAGUCAAAUGAUAAAUCAGCAUCAGCCUGUUAUUUUCUGUAAACAAAUAAACAACAAUUGUUUAAUAUUUAA